rnacentral:rRNA from 1 species
UAAAAGGUAACGGAGGCGCUCAAAGGUUCCCUCAGAAUGGUUGGAAAUCAUUCAUAGAGUGUAAAGGCAUAAGGGAGCUUGACUGCGAGACCUACAAGUCGAGCAGGGUCGAAAGACGGACUUAGUGAUCCGGUGGUUCCGCAUGGAAGGGCCAUCGCUCAACGGAUAAAAGCUACCCCGGGGAUAACAGGCUUAUCUCCCCCAAGAGUUCACAUCGACGGGGAGGUUUGGCACCUCGAUGUCGGCUCAUCGCAUCCUGGGGCUGUAGUCGGUCCCAAGGGUUGGGCUGUUCGCCCAUUAAAGCGGUACGCGAGCUGGGUUCAGAACGUCGUGAGACAGUUCGGUCCCUAUCCGUCGUGGGCGUAGGAAAUUUGAGAGGAGCUGUCCUUAGUACGAGAGGACCGGGAUGGACAUACCUCUGGUGUACCAGUUGUCGUGCCAACGGCAUAGCUGGGUAGCUAUGUGUGGACGGGAUAAGUGCUGAAAGCAUCUAAGCAUGAAGCCCCCCUCAAGAUGAGAUUUCCCAACUUCGGUUAUAAGAUCCCUCAAAGAUGAUGAGGUUAAUAGGUUCGAGGUGGAAGUAUGGUGACAUGUGGAGCUGACGAAUACUAAUCGAUCGAAGACUUAAUCAAAUU